rnacentral:rRNA from 1 species
UGGGGAAUAUUGCACAAUGGGGGAAACCCUGAUGCAGCGACGCCGCGUGAACGAAGAAGGUAUUCGUAUCGUAAAGUUCUGUCCUAUGGGAAGAUAAUGACAGUACCAUAGAAGAAAGCUCCGGCUAAAUACGUGCCAGCAGCCGCGGUAAUACGUAUGGAGCGAGCGUUGUCCGGAAUUAUUGGGCGUAAAGGGUACGCAGGCGGUUUAAUAAGUCGAAUGUAAAAGAUCGGGGCUCAACCCCGCAAAGCAUUGGAAACUGAUAAACUUGAGUAGUGGAGAGGAAAGUGGAAUUCCUAGUGUAGUGGUGAAAUACGUAGAUAUUAGGAGGAAUACCAGUAGCGAAGGCGACUUUCUGGACACAAACUGACGCUGAGGUACGAAAGCGUGGGGAGCAAACAGG